CUUGCAUUCUUUACUUGCGUUCUAGCUACAGAUGAAAACCUAAAUACAUUACAGGAUCUUCAAGAUCUAGAGCUGAUGGACAGCGAAAUAAGAUCACCUUAUGAUUUCAACGACGAAGAAGAUAUAAUUACCGAAGACGAAAACGAUUACUCCUUCAUUAACAAACGAGACUACGUUCCAAAACCGUCCGAUUUGUGUUAUACUUGGGGCAAUUACCAUUUC